AGAAAAAGUUUGAAUUUGGAGUUUCGAAGAAACAAAUUUAUAUUAGAGAUUCGGAAGAAAAUUAAUUUGGAAGAAAAACAAUUCAAUUUGUUAUACGGCGAUUUUAUUGGAAUUGUAAUCAAAAGAUACGGAUUUAAUUUAUGUGACGAUCCUCCUAAAAGGCCCUUGCUCCUCUGGACUUGGCUACCUUUUAGUGGGGGCUGUUCUUGUCCAUCAGAGAAAAGCUCGGAUACAUCAACAUAAAAGAAAAUUCUUAAGUUUUGUUUGGUGAUCGCUAAAAUUGAAACACGCUUCAAUCAUCAGGCUCCAAAAACCUUUGGUGCCUGGGAAAUUUGGAGAAAACAUUUGUAUUAAAGCUAGAGGAAGGAGGAAGUAACUCACAGAAACGUCAUUCAAGAAGUCAUCAGAGGAACAUUGCAAUGAGCAGGACGCCGUUCCGAUUAUAGGAAGAACAAGUCCGCGUACUUCGAAGCUUGGUAUCGCGCAUUGACGAAGGAUUGACUCCGGUUUGAGCAAAAUGACGGAAAGUUUCGCAGUAUGGUCACAGUCCAUGACAACGUAGAGUAAUUUAAGUCAGAGUACUAUGAGAAGGUGCGCUCACUUGUGCAGGAAUAACUAGCAAGAUUCGAAUCUGAGGUCAGUCCAUUGAAGCAGCAAGAGGACGCUUUCCUGAAACUACAAGAUACAACGAUGGGACUUGGACAACAGCAAGCAGGGUACAACGCUGAUUCAAGUGCCAAUGACCAGCUGAAUGGGUUCGAAAAAGAAGUGUAUCGAUCAUGUAGGCGAUUAAAGACUUGCGAGCAUAUGUGGAAAGCACCUUAGCUACUGAACCGAGUGCUAACCCGCAUUUAUGUAAAGUUAAAACGCAAACGCUGCUAAAUCCUAGCGAAAGCUAAAGGCAUUUUUAAAGUUCUUGGAGCAGCAGUUCCAGACCAUGGAUGCCGUAGUACAAAAGGACAACCAUUGGUCGAAUAAGCCACUUCAUCAGCCAUGCCAGCAGAAAGGAAGUAGCAAAAAUGUGCUAUGAGCGGCGCUAAAAAUCAAACCAUGGACAAGUUUCAACAACUCAAAUAGAUUAAGGCAUGCCCAAUCUCAUCGCCAUGGAUCAAACAGGUGCUCACCGAGUUCAUGUAGAAAGUGCGGCAAAAAACACAAUACACUUCUUCAUUUUCAAAACCAAUCCGAGCCAAAAAAAUGCAUACAAUAAAGCAUCAGUAUCAUUAUCUGUAUCAUGCGCAGCAGAAAGUUAUUUGUCUGGAGACCAAGGUUAUGCCCUGCUAGGGACUGCAAAUGUGAUUAUUCGAUCUCCAAAUGGUAACUUCGGUGAAUUCACAGCAGUUAUUUAUUCCGGAUCUCAAAUAAACAUUGUUUCUGAGCGUCUAGUUCAAAGAUUGCCGCAUUAGCCGACGAAGUAGGAAAACGAAAAAAGAGCUACGCGGCGUGACUGGUUGGAAAGUUCCUAGUCACAUUCAAAUGGAGAAUCCACAUUUCGAAUUUUACAUUCAACAAACAACAGAGUAUAGACAUUUUGUUGGAGCUGAGUACUUCUUUAGUUUAAUGCAAGCUAUAAGAAAUAAUCGGGUAUGGCCUUGAAAUAAUCGGGUAUGGCCUAGAAAUAAUCGGGUAUGGCCUUGAAAUAAUCGGGUAUGGUCUUGAAAUAAUCGGGUAUGACCUUGAAAUGAUCGGGUAUCGCCUUGGUAUCGUUUCGCAGGCUAAUGUGAAAUGAGGUGACCCGUAUGAUAGAUUUCACCAAAAAAGCUGUGAAACCAUUUUACUAAAAAUUUUAUGAUGAAAGCAAUGUGUAUUCUUCUUUAUACUGAAAAUACACCAUUUAAUCACAAAACAA